rnacentral:lncRNA from 10 species
AUGAGAUCAGAGUUGGUGGGUCCAGGUGGAGCCAUGGGUGUGAGACAAGCAAAAAACCUGAAAGACAUCUCAAAAGGCCAAUCUACAAUCGUGUCUUGUCUGCAGGAAUAACUGGGGAAGUUGCAUAUCUUAUAGCCUCUGGAAUAAUGGCUGACAAUCUUUCCUGCCUGUGCCUUAGCAGGACUCAGGUUCCUCUCCUAUCCCCAGCCUGAUGGCCUCCUAUUUGCUUUAAAAAAGCUGUCAUUCUAAGUCCCAAGAAGCCAUGUGCCCCCCAUGAGGACUAUGAACAUCGGGGCCUGAGUCCAUCAGGACAGAAGCCAGAGCUGUGAAGACUAUACUUGGAGGAUCCAACCGCUCCCACAAUAGCCAGGAGGCAAAA